UACGAAGGGGGCUAGCGUUGCUCGGAAUUACUGGGCGUAAAGCGCACGUAGGCGGAUUGUUAAGUCGGGGGUGAAAUCCUGGAGCUCAACUCCAGAACUGCCUUCGAUACUGGCGAUCUCGAGUUCGGGAGAGGUGAGUGGAACUGCGAGUGUAGAGGUGAAAUUCGUAGAUAUCCGCAAGAACACCAGUGGCGAAGGCGGCUCACUGGCCCGAUACUGACGCUGAGGUGCGAAAGCGUGGGGAGCAAACAGG
rnacentral:rRNA from 1 species